rnacentral:rRNA from 1 species
GACGAACGCUGGCGGCGUGCCUAAUACAUGCAAGUCGAGCGCUGAAGGUUGGUACUUGUACCGACUGGAUGAGCAGCGAACGGGUGAGUAACGCGUGGGGAAUCUGCCUUUGAGCGGGGGACAACAUUAGGAAACGAAUGCUAAUACCGCAUAAAAACUUUAAACACAAGGUUUAAGAUUGAAAGAUGCAAUUGCAUCACUCAAAGAUGAUCCCGCGUUGUAUUAGCUAGUUGGUGAGGUAAAGGCUCACCAAGGCGAUGAUACAUAGCAGACCUGAGAGGGUGGACGGCCACCAUGGGACUGAGACACCGCCCAAACCCCUUCCGGAAGCAGCCGUAGGGGAUCUUUGGCAAUGGGCGGAAGUCUGACCGAGCAACGCCGCGGUAGUGAAGAAGGUUUUCGGAUCGUAAAACUCUGUUUGUAGGGAAGAACGUUGGUGAGAGUGGAAAGCUCAGCAAGUGACGGUAACUACCCAGAAAGGGACGGCUAACUACGUG